GCCUCGUUAGCUUAGUUGGUAGCGCGUCUGCCUUAAGCGCUAGGCCGCGGGUUCCAUUCCCGCCCGGGGCG
rfam:Asian citrus Psyllid, Diaphorina citri - Florida Strain, whole genome shotgun sequence.